GCUCUGGUGGCCUAGUGGUUAGAGCGUCCGCCUCGGAUGCGAGAGGUCGUAGUUUGAUCCCCAUACCAAAGACU